CUCAGAACGAACGCUGGCGGCGUGGAUAAGACAUGCAAGUCGAACGCUGACUGCCGGGUAGCAAUAUUUGGCAGUUCUAGUGGCGAAAGGGUGCGUAACACGUGGGUAAUUUGCCUUAAAGUUGGGGAUAACUUGCCGAAAGGUGAGCUAAUACCGAAUGUGGUCUCUCGGCGGCAUCACCGAGAGUCUAAAGCUGGGGAUCUUCGGACCUGGCGCUUUAAGAUAAGCCCGCGGCCUAUCAGCUUGUUGGUGAGGUAAAAGCUCACCAAGGCGACGACGGGUAGCUGGUCUGAGAGGACGAUCAGCCACACUGGAACUGAGACACGGUCCAGACACCUACGGGUGGCAGCAGUCGAGAAUCUUUCACAAUGGGCGAAAGCCUGAUGGAGCGACGCCGCGUGGGGGAUGAAGGUCUUCGGAUCGUAAACCCCUGUCAUCUGUGAGCAAUGCCUUUCACUUAAUAGCUGAAAGGUUUGAUAGAGCAGAAGAGGAAGGGACGGCUAACUCCGUGCCAGCAGCCGCGGUAAUACGGAGGUCCCAAGCGUUGUUCGGAUUCACUGGGCGUAAAGGGUGCGUAGGUGGUCGAGAUAGUUUGAUGUGAAAGCUCCGGGCUCAACCCGGAAAAUGCAUUGAAUACUACUCGACUAGAGGAUUGUAAGGGUGUCUGGAAUUCACGGUGUAGCAGUGAAAUGCGUAGAGAUCGUGAGGAACACUAGUGGCGAAGGCGAGUCUCUGGACGAUUUCCUGACACUGAGGCACGAAGGCUAGGGGAGCAAACAGGAUUAGAUACCCUGGUAGUCCUAGCAGUAAACGGUGUGCGUUUGCUGGUGGGCGGAUUUGGCCCCUUCCGUGCCGAAGCUAACGCGAUAAACGUGCCGCCUGGGGAGUACGGUCGCAAGAUUAAAACUCAAAGAAAUUGACGGGGGCCUGCACAAGCGGUGGAGUAUGUGGCUUAAUUCGAUGCAACGCGAAGAACCUUACCUGGCCUUGACAUGCAAGUAUUAGGAACCUGAAAGGGUAACGAGGUCGCAAGACCAGCUUGCACAGGUGCUGCAUGGCUGUCGUCAGCUCGUGUCGUGAGAUGUUGGGUUAAGUCCCGCAACGAGCGCAACCCCUGUGUUCUGUUGCCACUCCCGCGUAAGCGGGAAGCACUCUGGACAGACUGCCUCAUUUAAAUGAGGAGGAAGGUGGGGAUGACGUCAAGUCAGUAUGGCCCUUACGGCCAGGGCUGCACACGUACUACAAUGCCUGGUACAACGGGAAGCAAGACCGCAAGGUGGAGCAAAUCCCUUAAAACCAGGCCCAGUUCGGAUUGUCGUCUGCAACUCGACGGCAUGAAGCCGGAAUCGCUAGUAAUGGCGCAUCAGCUACGGCGCCGUGAAUACGUUCCCAGGCCUUGUACACACCGCCCGUCACAUCAUGAAAGUCAGUUGUACCCGAAGUCACUGAGCCAACCGCAAGGGGGCAGGUGCCGAAGGUAUGGCUGGUGAUUGGGAUGAAGUCGUAACAAGGUAACC
rnacentral:rRNA from 1 species